rnacentral:rRNA from 1 species
UACAGAGGUCUCAAGCGUUGUUCGGAUUCAUUGGGCGUAAAGCGUGUGUAGGUGGUCAGGCAAGUCGGUUGUGAAAUCCCCGGGCUCAACUCGGGAACUGCUUCCGAUACUUCUUGACUCGAAUUCGGUAGAGGGAGGCGGAACUCCAGGUGUAGCGGUGAAAUGCGUAGAUAUCUGGAAGAACACCAAUGGCGAAGGCAACCUCCUGGGCCUGAAUUGACACUGAGACACGAAAGCGUGGGGAUCAAACAGG